rnacentral:rRNA from 1 species
ACAACGACUCUCGGCAACGGAUAUCUCGGCUCUCGCAUCGAUGAAGAACGUAGCGAAAUGCGAUACUUGGUGUGAAUUGCAGAAUCCCGUGAACCAUCGAGUCUUUGAACGCAAGUUGCGCCCUAAGCCUUUAGGCCGAGGGCACGUCUGCCUGGGUGUCACG